rnacentral:tRNA from 1 species
GGGGGUGUAGCUCAGUGGUAGAGCACAUGUUUUGCAUGUAUGAGGUUCUGGUUCAGUCCCCGGCCCUUUUA